UACGAAGGGGGCUAGCGUUGCUCGGAAUUACUGGGCGUAAAGCGCACGUAGGCGGCUUUCUAAGUCGGGGGUGAAAUCCUGGAGCUCAACUCCAGAACUGCCUUCGAUACUGGAGAGCUUGAGUCCGGGAGAGGUGAGUGGAACUGCGAGUGUAGAGGUGAAAUUCGUAGAUAUUCGCAAGAACACCAGUGGCGAAGGCGGCUCACUGGCC
rnacentral:rRNA from 1 species